UUCCAGUCCAAUAGCGUAUAUUAAAGUUGUUGCAGUUAAAAAGCUCGUAGUUGAAUUUCGGGGUUAGUAGGCUGGUCAUGCCUCCGGUAUGUACUGGUCUCACUGAUUCCUCCUUCCUGANGAACCGUAAUGCCAUUAAUUUGGUGUUGCGGGGAAUCUGGACUGUUACUUUGAAAAAAUUAGAGUGUUUAAAGCAGGCUAACGCUUGAAUACAUUAGCAUGGAAUAAUGAAAUAGGACGUUCGAUCCUAUUUUGUUGGUUUCUAGGAUUGACGUAAUGAUUAAUAGGGAUAGUUGGGGGCAUUAGUAUUCAAUUGUCAGAGGUGAAAUUCUUGGAUUUAUUGAAGACUAACUACUGCGAAAGCAUUUGCCAAGGAUGUUUUCAUUAAUCAAGAACGAAAGUUAGGGGAUCGAAGACGAUCAGAUACCGUCGUAGUCUUAACCAUAAACUAUGCCGACUAGGGAUCGG
rnacentral:rRNA from 1 species